UGCUUGGCGACCAUAGCGUUUUGGACCCACCUGACUUCCAUGCCGAACUCAGAAGUGAAACGAAAUAGCGCCGAUGGUAGUGUGGGGGGGCUUCCCCAUGUGAGAGUAGGACAUCGCCAGGCUU
rnacentral:rRNA from 1 species